CGCUCCUCUAAACCCAUAGGCGCAAUGAAAGUGAAGGUCGCCCUUUGCGGGACCGAGGGAGGACGGAGGCGCCUCGCGGCGCCUCCCGCACUCCCGGGGCGUCUGGUUCCUCUUUCUGAGGGAAGGCGCACCCAGAGCGCACACGUUGGGACCCGAAAGAUGGUGAACUAU
rnacentral:rRNA from 1 species